rnacentral:rRNA from 1 species
UACGUAGGUGGCAAGCGUUGUCCGGAAUUAUUGGGCGUAAAGCGCGCGCAGGCGGUUCUUUAAGUCUGAUGUGAAAGCCCCCCGGCUCAACUGGGGAGGGUCAUUCGAUACUGAUCGACUCGAAGGCAGGAAAGGGAAGUGGAAUUCCCGGUGUAGUGGUGAAAUGCGUAGAUAUCGGGAGGAACACCAGUGGCGAAGGCGACUUCCUGGCCUGUUCUUGACGCUGAGGCGCGAAAGCUAGGGGAGCAACGGGG